rnacentral:rRNA from 1 species
UAAUACGGAGGGGGCUAGCGUUGUUCGGAAUCACUGGGCGUAAAGCGCGCGUAGGCGGCUUGGAAAGUUGGGUGUGAAAUCCCGGGGCUCAACCCCGGAACUGCAUUCAAAACUUCCAGGCUAGAGACUUAGAGAGGUGGGCGGAAUUCCGAGUGUAGAGGUGAAAUUCGUAGAUAUUCGGAAGAACACCGGUUGCGAAGGCGGCUCACUGGCUAAGUUCUGACGCUGAGGUGCGAAAGCGUGGGGAGCAAACAGG